rnacentral:rRNA from 1 species
CGUGGUAUCCUGUCUGAAUAUGGGGGGACCAUCCUCCAAGGCUAAAUACUCCUGACUGACCGAUAGUGAACCAGUACCGUGAGGGAAAGGCGAAAAGAACCCCGGCGAGGGGAGUGAAAAAGAACCUGAAACCGUGUACGUACAAGCAGUGGGAGCACGCUUAGGCGUGUGACUGCGUACCUUUUGUAUAAUGGGUCAGCGACUUAUAUUCUGUAGCAAGGUUAACCGAAUAGGGGAGCCGAAGGGAAACCGAGUCUUAACUGGGCGUUAAGUUGCAGGGUAUAGACCCGAAACCCGGUGAUCUAGCCAUGGGCAGGUUGAAGGUUGGGUAACACUAACUGGAGGACCGAACCGACUAAUGUUGAAAAAUUAGCGGAUGACUUGUGGCUGGGGGUGAAAGGCCAAUCAAACCGGGAGAUAGCUGGUUCUCCCCGAAAGCUAUUUAGGUAGCGCCUCGUGAAUUCAUCUCCGGGGGUAGAGCACUGUUUCGGCAAGGGGGUCAUCCCGACUUACCAACCCGAUGCAAACUGCGAAUACCGGAGAAUGUUAUCACGGGAGACACACGGCGGGUGCUAACGUCCGUCGUGAAGAGGGAAACAACCCAGACCGCCAGCUAAGGUCCCAAAGUCAUGGUUAAGUGGGAAACGAUGUGGGAAGGCCCAGACAGCCAGGAUGUUGGCUUAGAAGCAGCCAUCAUUUAAAGAAAGCGUAAUAGCUCACUGGUCGAGUCGGCCUGCGCGGAAGAUGUAACGGGGCUAAACCAUGCACCGAAGCUGCGGCAGCGACGCUGAUGCGUUGUUGGGUAGGGGAGCGUUCUGUAAGCCUGCGAAGGUGUGCUGUGAGGCAUGCUGGAGGUAUCAGAAGUGCGAAUGCUGACAUAAGUAACGAUAAAGCGGGUGAAAAGCCCGCUCGCCGGAAGACCAAGGGUUCCUGUCCAACGUUAAUCGGGGCAGGGUGAGUCGACCCCUAAGGCGAGGCCGAAAGGCGUAGUCGAUGGGAAACAGGUUAAUAUUCCUGUACUUGGUGUUACUGCGAAGGGGGGACGGAGAAGGCUAUGUUGGCCGGGCGACGGUUGUCCCGGUUUAAGCGUGUAGGCUGGUUUUCCAGGCAAAUCCGGAAAAUCAAGGCUGAGGCGUGAUGACGAGGCACUACGGUGCUGAAGCAACAAAUGCCCUGCUUCCAGGAAAAGCCUCUAAGCAUCAGGUAACAUCAAAUCGUACCCCAAACCGACACAGGUGGUCAGGUAGAGAAUACCAAGGCGCUUGAGAGAACUCGGGUGAAGGAACUAGGCAAAAUGGUGCCGUAACUUCGGGAGAAGGCACGCUGAUAUGUAGGUGAAGCGACUUGCUCGUGGAGCUGAAAUCAGUCGAAGAUACCAGCUGGCUGCAACUGUUUAUUAAAAACACAGCACUGUGCAAACACGAAAGUGGACGUAUACGGUGUGACGCCUGCCCGGUGCCGGAAGGUUAAUUGAUGGGGUCAGCGCAAGCGAAGCUCUUGAUCGAAGCCCCGGUAAACGGCGGCCGUAACUAUAACGGUCCUAAGGUAGCGAAAUUCCUUGUCGGGUAAGUUCCGACCUGCACGAAUGGCGUAAUGAUGGCCAGGCUGUCUCCACCCGAGACUCAGUGAAAUUGAACUCGCUGUGAAGAUGCAGUGUACCCGCGGCAAGACGGAAAGACCCCGUGAACCUUUACUAUAGCUUGACACUGAACAUUGAGCCUUGAUGUGUAGGAUAGGUGGGAGGCUUGGAAGUGUGGACGCCAGUCUGCAUGGAGCCGACCUUGAAAUACCACCCUUUAAUGUUUGAUGUUCUAACGUUGACCCGUAAUCCGGGUUGCGGACAGUGUCUGGUGGGUAGUUUGACUGGGGCGGUCUCCUCCUAAAGAGUAACGGAGGAGCACGAAGGUUGGCUAAUCCUGGUCGGACAUCAGGAGGUUAGUGCAAUGGCAUAAGCCAGCUUGACUGCGAGCGUGACGGCGCGAGCAGGUGCGAAAGCAGGUCAUAGUGAUCCGGUGGUUCUGAAUGGAAGGGCCAUCGCUCAACGGAUAAAAGGUACUCCGGGGAUAACAGGCUGAUACCGCCCAAGAGUUCAUAUCGACGGCGGUGUUUGGCACCUCGAUGUCGGCUCAUCACAUCCUGGGGCUGAAGUAGGUCCCAAGGGUAUGGCUGUUCGCCAUUUAAAGUGGUACGCGAGCUGGGUUUAGAACGUCGUGAGACAGUUCGGUCCCUAUCUGCCGUGGGCGCUGGAGAACUGAGGGGGGCUGCUCCUAGUACGAGAGGACCGGAGUGGACGCAUCACUGGUGUUCGGGUUGUCAUGCCAAUGGCACUGCCCGGUAGCUAAAUGCGGAAGAGAUAAGUGCUGAAAGCAUCUAAGCACGAAACUUGCC